rnacentral:rRNA from 1 species
AUUGAACGCUGGCGGCAGGCCUAACACAUGCAAGUCGAACGGUAACAGGAAGCAGCUUGCUGCUUUGCUGACGAGUGGCGGACGGGUGAGUAAUGUCUGGGAAACUGCCUGAUGGAGGGGGAUAACUACUGGAAACGGUAGCUAAUACCGCAUAACGUCGCAAGACCAAAGAGGGGGACCUUCGGGCCUCUUGCCAUCCGCUGUGCCCAGAAGGGAUUAGCUAGUAGGUGGGGUAAAGGCACACCUAGGCGACGAUCCCAUGCUGAUCUGAGAGGAUGACCAGACACACUGGAACUGAGAAACGUCCCAGACUCCUAAGGGAGGCAGCAGUGUCGAAUAUUGCACGAUGGGCGCAAGCCUGAUGCAGCCAUGCCGCGUGUAUGAAGAAGGCCUUCGGGUUGUAAAGUUCGUUCAGCAGGGAGGAAGGGAGUAACUUUAAUACCUUUGCUCAUUGACGUUACCCACAGAAGAAGCACCGGCUAACUCCGUG